rnacentral:rRNA from 1 species
UGGGGAAUUUUGGACAAUGGGCGAAAGCCUGAUCCAGCAAUGCCGCGUGUGUGAAGAAGGCCUUCGGGUUGUAAAGCACUUUUGUCCGGAAAGAAAUCCUUGGCUCUAAUACAGUCGGGGGAUGACGGUACCGGAAGAAUAAGCACCGGCUAACUACGUGCCAGCAGCCGCGGUAAUACGUAGGGUGCAAGCGUUAAUCGGAAUUACUGGGCGUAAAGCGUGCGCAGGCGGUUUGCUAAGACCGAUGUGAAAUCCCCGGGCUCAACCUGGGAACUGCAUUGGUGACUGGCAGGCUAGAGUAUGGCAGAGGGGGGUAGAAUUCCACGUGUAGCAGUGAAAUGCGUAGAGAUGUGGAGGAAUACCGAUGGCGAAGGCAGCCCCCUGGGCCAAAUACUGACGCUCAUGCACGAAAGCGUGGGGAGCAAACAGGAUUAGAUACCCUGGUAGUCCACGCCCUAAACGAUGUCAACUAGUUGUUGGGGAUUCAUUUCCUUAGUAACGUAGCUAACGCGUGAAGUUGACCGCCUGGGGAGUACGGUCGCAAGAUUAAAACUUAAAGGAAUUGACGGGGUCAUAGCU